rnacentral:rRNA from 1 species
UACGUAGGGGGCUAGCGUUGUCCGGAAUCAUUGGGCGUAAAGAGCGUGUAGGCGGCUCGGUAAGUCCGCUGUGAAAGUCCAGGGCUCAACCCUGGGAUGCCGGUGGAUACUGUCGGGCUCGAGUCCGGAAGAGGCGAGUGGAAUUCCUGGUGUAGCGGUGAAAUGCGCAGAUAUCAGGAGGAACACCAAUGGCGAAGGCAGCUCGCUGGGACGGUACUGACGCUGAGGAGCGAAAGCGUGGGGAGCGAACAGG